rnacentral:ncRNA from 2 species
CCGCGGGACACCUUCCCCCAACGGAAGGCGCCCAUCUGUAAGGAUGGACUGA